rnacentral:tRNA from 2 species
GCGGACGUGGCGGAACUGGCAUACGCGCUACCUUGAGGUGGUAGUGGGAGUAAUCCCUUGGAGGUUCAAGUCCUCUCGUCCGCACCA